ensembl:lncRNA
CAGUUACAAAAUAUCUCAAUGCCCAGCAGCUCCCCACAAACAUACAUUUGAAGAGCUAAUGUGAAACAAACAUGUAACAUAUGAAUUGUUUAGAGGAUAACAACUGCAUUGUAUCAACUCAUUAUUUUGCAAAUUAAUCUUGUAAAUCUUAUUUCAAACCUAUUUGGCCAUAAAAUUUCUUCUAGGUUACUAAAUGUCCAUGGUUUUCUUACAAUGAUAAAUCCUUUCUAGUUAAACCCAUCACAUUCCCCUAUCCAUUGUCUAAAAGCUAAAGAGAUACUAAUCAUCCACCUACAGACAUCAAUACGCCGAUUUGCCCUACAAAUAGCUUCUCCGAAUCUGGAAAUAGAAAGGCAAAACCAAAUGUGUAUUUGCAUAUUCACAUUAGGUCUUCUAAGAGCACUCUAACUGCACAUUAAUAGAGACAUGAAACUUACUUUUAAUUCCCACACUAAUCCAUUUUACUCACAUGCCCUGACCAGGCACACAUCAGCACCACCCCUGUUCCUAUGAUUAAUCACAAACACUAGAAAUGUAUAUUUUCUUCUUCAAGGAGUCUUGUGGCCCUGAAAAUAUAUUUGGAUUUUCUAAAAACACUGCACAUUAUGGAAGAAUUUCUAUAACACAGAAGUGGGAUGGUAGGAGUCUCUAAGAGGCUAAGCUUUUAGCAUGAGAGGAGGAAGAUACACCAAACAUGUUUCUAACACACACAUUAAAAAGUCCACAUGACAUCCACAGCACAAGGUGGCAAAGUCCCCGCCUGUAAACUCCAAAACUCCAUUGGUCUCAAAUAACAAUUAACAACAGGAUUUUUUUUUAAUUUAGAUAAUAAUAGUCAAUAUUAUUCUUUAUUCUUCAUAUUGCAGUUAUGUUCUUGCUUAGAAUCUAAAAGUUCCAUUUUAAAGUCCAAUAAUAUACUACUAAAUUACUAUCAUUUCCUGAUUCUAUGAAAAUCUUGUCAAUUUCCACUUAUAAAUUUAAUUUGAAUUUUAUUUUUAUUUUAACAACAUUAUCUAUCUGCUUUUAUUAAGAAAGAAAUGUGGGAGUUCCUGUUGUGGUUCAAUGGUUAACAAAUCCGACUAGCAAUCAUGAGGUUGCCAGUUCGAUCCCUGGCCUUGCUCAGUGGGUUAAGGAUCCGGCGUUGCCUUGAGAUGUGGUGUAGGUCGCAGACAUGGCUUGGAUCCUGCGUUGCUGUGGCUGUGGUGUAGGCUGGUGGCUACUGCUCCAAUGAGACCCGUAGCCUGGGAACCUCCAUAUGCCGCGGGUGUGGCCCUAAAAGAAAGACAAAAAAAGACCAAAAAGAAAAAAAAAAAAAAAAAAGCAAUGUCAGAAUCAAUAUUUGAUACAGCCUAUAGUCUUUUCAAAAAUUCUCAAGCAAAAUAUUUUUUAUUAUUUAGGGUAAUUCAAACAAAUAUAAUUAAUUCUAGAUUUUGAAAACUAAUUUUACUGGUUAGUAACAGACAAACUAGAAUGUGCAGGGUUUUUUUUCAAUUAUGAUUUUGCAUGAAAUAAGAUAUGAUGACAAAACACAAACUUUAAUUUUUAAAUGUAUUUUAUUGCAUGGCAUCUAUGAAAAAUAUUAACCUUCAUAUGAGAUGUGAUAAAGCCCCAGUAUUUGAUGAGUUUAUGUUUUCAAAUAUGAAAAAUUCAAUUAUUACUAUGGCAUAAGCUUCUUCUAUCAUUAGAUUUUUUAUAAUAUAGUUUUGUCUAUUUGCAGAAAUAUAAAAUUUUUAUCUUUUUUAUUUAUGUUAUUUCACUAUAGUUGUGCUAAAAUAGUAAUUUAUAAAAAAAGUUAAGCUUCAAAUGGUAAUAUUGACAGAUAAUAUUGUGCAUAUAUUAAAUAUUAAUUUGCUCUCAGAAAAAUAAAAACAGACACAAAUCAAGGAAAAGGUUAUGAUUUCUCCUCAGCUGAGAAAUAAAAAAUCUCCAAGGAAAUUCAGCUUUAUUCUAAAUCAAGAACCAGAAUUAAAUGUAGGCCCAUAACUUUGAUCCACAAUGCUCAUUUUAGCUUUAUUUGGAAAAUCGAUCAAGGAAGAAAUAGCUACUGUCAGACUCCCUUUUUACUUGCAAUUGCUUGUGAUUUUAUGUAAGACAACAGGGAAGAACCAUCACCUGGACAUCAUAGAUUCUUUUUAAGUUUGGCCGCUAUGUUAGGGAACAAAGUUCAAAUUCCUUCCAACCGACUCCCUUUGCAGGAGCUCACUCCCUGCCAUCCUACAAGUGGCUUUUACAUUGAACUUGUGGUGAUCGAAAAACAAAGCAUAAAAACUUUCAUUAUUUUUAAGUUUUAUAAAUCUCUCCUUGUAAACAUCUAUUAAGACAAUAGGUAUAGUACAGUUCAAAUUUCUAGGUUCUAGACACAUACAGCUGCCAUUAUUCUAAAGGUCUUUGAGAAGUUAUCAGGUAAGAAAUAAUUUGCUUAAUGCCAUGAUUUUCUUUUUUUUUUUUAACCCAUUUAACAAUACAGUUUCAAUAUAUACUAAUUAAUUACUUUCAAAGGUAAUAGCAAAGGCCCGAGAAUAGGCUAUACCCAUAUCACAUGUGCUGGGAUAAAUUCAAACAUACAAUGAAACAUGUGCUGCUCUUUUAUAAGAUUAAUGUUAAGGGACAAUAAACAGGACCAGUACCUAGGGCAAUAACGUAUAUGUGAGAAUGCACUACAUGCACUAAAAUAGGUCCAAGCUGCAAUGACGGUUCCCUAAAGGAAGUGAUAGCCUCCACUUUGGGGAUCAGAAAUGUACCAUGACUGAGAGAGGAUAUGAAUUGUGUUUUAUCAAUUUUGUCACAUUUUAACAAGUAGAAUUAGCGGGAAGCAUAUUACAGAAAUAAGAAACAGGAUGAGCAAAGCCAAUUAGGUUAGGCAGAGCAAAGAAAAAUGUGAGUUGGGAGAGGAGCUGAGUUUGGGUGGAGGAAACAAAUAGUUGCAUGCAUCAACGGGAAUGAAGCUGAUUGACAGCAGGAUGGCUGAGCAAGUGCCACUGCCAAUCCCCCAAUCAGACCUUUUGCAACUUCAGUGUGUAGUAUUGCAAAAAUCCCCAAAUUUCCCUCUUUCCAGGGUUAUUCCCUUAAAAUCUCUUCAUAUUUUCAUCAAAAGGGCCGAACUAAAUGACAAACAUAACCAUGUCUUUGGUUAUCUAUUCUUUGCUCUAUACUGCUGUGAUUGCCUACUGCUGUCUGCAGGACCCUUCAUAGCCUGAUAACUGAGACCUGCCCAGCUUCGCACUCUUUGCAGGCACCCCGCUCUUCUAUCUCUGAGUGGUGUACCAUCAAGCCACUCAGAGUGUCCCAACAAUGGCAAUUAGCACACUUGAUAAUCGUUCUAUGUUUCCUUGUCAAUCACCCUGGAUUACAUGCUCCACAAGGAGUGGGAUCAACUCUCUUCCUCAUUCUUUUAUCCCUAAUAUCACGCACUGUGACUGGCAUGUAUUAGGCACAUAUAUGUGGUCAGUAGGAAAUAGUUAAUGAAAUGCUUUUACUUCUUUUAGACUCCACUUUUGGGGUGAUGACAUUUCACUUAGCUGGGGUUAUAAAUCAAUGAUCCCAGUAAGCAAAUGAAUCACAGAUGUUCAUCUGUAAGAACACUCUUGCUGAUCCACAAACCAGAGGGAACUGAGAGGCACCUAGAUUCCUCUGUGUGUGUGUGUGCAUGAGUGUGUGUACAAGAAGCCAGGAGUUGUUAGGAUAUCAGUAAACAAAUGUUGAAAUAAAAAUUGUGUGUUUCACUCCUUUUAAAAAUUCGUCCUAGUCCUCCUCUACUGUCAUGAGAAGGUACUUUUAAAGAGCUGGAUUCAUUUUCUCUUACCACAAACCUAGUGGCUUUAAACAACACAGAUUUAUUAUCAGACAGUUUCAAUGGGUGGAAGACAAAAAUCAGUCUUGAUUGGACUAGAGCCAAGGUGCCGGCAGGGCAGGUUCCUUCUGGAGGUUCUGGGUUGAGGGACGAGAAUCCGUUUUCCUGCUCUCUGUGGAUUCUGCAGGCUGCUGCAUCUACCCAGGCAGGAGCCCUUCCCCACGUUUUGCUCCAACUUUCUCCCUCCACCAUCACAUCUCCUGUUACCAACUCUGAUCAUUCUGUUUGCCUCCUACCGGGGCUUUUCUGAUUACAUCAGGCCCACCUGGAUAAUCCAAGCUCAUCUCUACAUUUCAAGAUCCUCGCAUCUGCAAAAUCCCUUUCAGGAUACACACACUCACAUAUUCGCAGGUUCUGGGGAUUAGGGACCAGAUGUCUUUGGGGCCAUUAUGCAGCCCCACACAAUAAUUUUCUGUAUUUGAUGCAGUGUUCUGGUUUCUUUAUACUUAGUGGGUUUCACUGGUGUUCCUAGGUCAGUUAGAGGAUUUCCCAAGUUCACGGAAGACUUAAAUAUCUCUCUCUUGGAGUUCCUGCUGUACCACAGUGGAAACAAAUCCCACUAGUCUCCAUGAGGAUGCAGCUUCAAUCUCUGGCCUCGCUCAGUGGGUUAAGGAAAUAGCGUUGCUGUGAGCUGUGGUGUAGGUCACACACGCGGCUCAGAUCCUGCUUUGCUGUGGCUGUGGCGCUGGCCUGCAGCUGGAGCUCCAGUUCGACCCCUAGCCUGGGAACUUCCAUAUGCUGCUGGUGUAGCCCUAAAAAGCAAAAAAGCAAAAAGACAAAACAAAAACAAAAACAAACAAACAAAACUCUCUCUUCUAAUGUAUACAAGUGGUUUACAGAACAGUAAGGUGGCUGUUCAAUAUUAUAUUCCUCAGCACACAGGCAUUUCACACACAUUUUCUUAUUUAACUACCAGAAUAACUCAGUGGGGUAGAUGUUACGCCCUCAUUUUACUACUACAUGGCUGUUCAACAUCAGCUUAAAUCUGUUUGAAGAGCAGUAUAUAGCUGUGGUCUGCCUGACACUUCCUUGAAAACACUGUCCUCUUCUGAAAUAAUCCCAGCUGGAAAAACAUGCUUGAAAAAUUAGUGGAGAAUGAAUUUCAUUGUUUCUUCCCAAAUCAAAUGCAGGACAUCAAGCCUAUGAAAAUCAUAUUCCUCUCUCAUCUUCUGAAUGUAGAUUAAGGAAUGUUUAUGGAAAUAAUUAGGUAGAGAAUGAACAAAGAGUUUUAAAUUAAUUAAAUAUAAUCAGGUAGGCUCUCAGCUACUGUUGGUAGACAGGAAGGAAAUAAUUUGAGAAGAUUAAUGCAUGAUAUUUGGAAAACUCUAAAGAGAAUUUUUUUAGGAUUGAUUAGCACUUACUUUUAAAGAGUUCCCGUCGUGGCGCAGUGGUUAACAAAUCCGACUAGGAACCAUGAGGUUGCGGGUUCAAUUCCUGCCCUUGCUCAGUGGGUUAACGAUCCGACGUUGCCGUGAGCUGUGGUGUAGGUUGCAGACGCGGCUCAGAUCCAGCGUUGCUGUGGCCCUGGUGUAGGCCAACAGCUUUAGCUCCGAUUAGACCCGUAGCCUGGGAACUUCCAUAUGCUGCAGGAACGGCCCAAGAA